AUAAAAAUUUAAAUAUUCCAAUUUUAAAAUCAAUAAUUUCAAAUUUAAUGUUUUAAUUAUGCCAAAAGAUGGCGCUACUUGUUCAUAAUUGAACCAAUACGUCAAUUUAUUUCAAAAUAUAACAAAAUUCCCUGUUGAUUUUGCCAAAUUUACAAUAAUUUGACAAAAAUUUAUAAAAAAACUGUAUUUUCGUUGCUUUAAGGGUUAGGUUAAAAUGUUAUGUUAUAAAAUUGUGGUAUAAAUUUUAUAUACACAUAAACUAAAAAAAUGUAUUGUACGAUUAGCAACACUGAAUCAACCUUUCAACAAGAAAGAAUUAUUGUAGGUUAUCUGUGUAUAAACAAUUAGGCUGAAUUAGGCAGAAUUCAAAACAGAUAAAAAUAAAACAAAAAUAUAAAUAAAUUUAAUAAUUAAUCUGGUUAGUUUAGAUUACUCUUAAAUUGGAAAUCUGGAUUGGAUGGCUGAACAAAUUCUGUCUCCCUAUUAUAACUAUACCUUAAAUCGAAUUAUUAUCACCAAUAACGAAUUCGUUACCCCAAGAAAUAUUUUCUUCGAUUUUUAAUCGAUUUAAAUUGGUCUUCAAU